GCCUGGCGGGCCUGCGGAGGACCCGGAAGGGGCUCCCGAGGGGGAUCGCCCGCUGCCCGUCGCUCGCUCGUUUCCGCUGCCUUCCGGGUUGGGAGGGCUGGUGAGCUCCGCGCCGCGAGGCGACACCGCCCAGCCCUGGUUCUGGUCACCCUGGGAUUGCUGCUCCUGGCCAGCCCACUGCGUAAGGAGGACUCACAAACUCUUGAGCUCUGUUUGCUCUCCUCUGAACUAUUGGAAGCUGAAGACGACGACAAGAUCCUGCUGAAUCUGAAGAGUCACCAGAACUAACACCUGAAGAGACGUUGGCGCUUGUCCUGUGACGUGCAGAAUAAGCUGCCCUACUGGUGGCAGACUGGGUAGGAGAACCUACCAACUCAGGAAUCACUUUUGUCUGAAACUUCAACCGCUUCUGCUUGAUAUUUCUGGUCAAAGAUAAUGAACAAAAGAAACAAUAGUUAAUAAAAAAAAUGCCUAAACAAAA